UAACCUAUGUGAUUGUUUAAUCUUACAGGAUUUUAUUUUUUUUUGUGAUGCUGUUGCAUCGUGGAUUAGCCCAAAAGAUGAUCUCCGAGACAUGUUCUGUAAGAUUCUUCAUGGAUUUAAAAAUCAAGUUGGGGAUGAGAAUUGGAGGCGUUUCUCUGACCAGUUUCCUCUUCCCUUAAAAGAGCGCCUUGCAGCUUACUAUGGAGUUUAACCUCAUGCACUGUAGCUGCAGUCCCAUAAUUAGAGGUCCUUCAGUCUGGGAGACCAUGAGGGAGCCUCUGCACCCAGGGAAAAUGUUACCCUUUACUGGGGGGAAGGGUAAACCAGUAGGGAAUACAGUACAAUCCCAACCCUACUGGGAGGGGCGGGAGGGAGGUGUUGCCGUCACUGUAUUAAGUCGAUGUUGGGAAAUGUUUUAACAUCUGGAGCCUUUGUGGGUGGAAAUCUGUCUCCUAUUACAACUCUGCACUGGAUGUGAAGAAGAAAAAAAAAAAAGAAUCUAGUCACAAAACAGCACAUUCUGGAAUAUUGUGGGGAAUUGUACCAAAAUAAGAACCAUAUAAUUAAACCAUAGGGAUACGUAAAGAGGAAAACUAUUUUGCGCACAAUAAAGGAAACCUAAGAAUGGGGGUCACAAACAGUAAAAGGCUUUCUUUUUUCUUUUAUGUUUUUUAAGUAAGGGUUUUCUACAUUAUUUCAUCCUGCUUGAUGGGAUUCCUAGGUAUUUGCAUGUUAAUGAAGAACUACACAAGUGAAGUUAGUACAGUUAAAAUGCAGCUUGUGUCUGUAUUAGGAGCAGGCGCUUGCAGUGUACAAUAUAGAAACCCCAUCGUAAAUUAAUAAAGGUUAACUUGGACAAAGUGAAGCAACCUGCAAGCUGCCAAAUGAGUCACUCCUUUCAUUUUUGGGGUAAGGGGAGGGACACUUUAAAGGAAAGAUUAACAUCUUAAUUUUUACAUUAAAAAAAGAAGUAAAGUAGUGGAUAUGAUUUGAUUAUUGUACUUCAUUAGAUUUAAUUUCUAGAGUAAGGCAUUAUUCUUAACGUGCAGUUUAAGGUUCAGGCAUGCAUUCUGGCUCAUAGUGAUCAGAAGUAAUUUAAAUUAGUGGGAAAGUAGCAUGCUUGCAUCACAUAGAGUGAAAUUGGUAUACAUUUACCUAUGUUGCGCCAGUUUUGUGUUGCAGUUUACCAAUUCAAUAUAGCCCUGCAUUUAAAAUUCCUUUUUAAGAUUCUGUGGAUUUUUUAAAAAAAGAAUAUAGAUAUAAAGUACUGUAGUUAACAAUUAGGCCUUGAAAUACCUUUUUAGGAUCUUUAAGAAUAGGAUUGAUAUUGUAUUGUGUGUAACCUGCACAAUGUGGAAAGCUGAUAUAGCUGUGCAAAAUAUUUGCCUCUGUGCUGUCAGUGUGAUGUGCUUUCUGCAUGGUUAUAUACUAGUGAUUUUAUCAGAAUCUCUAAAAAUGAGUUACAUGGUAAGACCCGUUAAAGGCUGCAUAAAUGUUAGUUGGCACGUAAAGACAAUUGUAGAAGUUGAUGACAUGAUUGCUAUAUUUGUGUUUAUUCCCACUCAACAUAUUACCUUCUACGCUUUCUUUUUGUUCAAAGCAUGAUCUUAAAGAGAUGUUUAAGUUAAUGGAUGUAAUGCAGGGUAUCUACACUGUUUCGGCGCAUGUUGGUGGCCCUUUGUGAUGUAGUUAAAUGCACAAGGGUGCAAGUUUAAAGCUACAGAGUGAAAGUUGGUUUGGAUCCUCUUCAUUUCAUUUGUUUAGCUUUUCUGUUGUGUUUUUUUUCUCUACUUACAUGUAUUCCUGUGAAUAAAUCCUUGUUAAGUUAACCCUUUACUUUUCCUUUCAUGUGUAUUUUCUUAUGUACUGUGAAUGUGAAAUCCUAACUGGUACACUUGAUCUUGUGUUGAUCUGAAAGUGGCAAGUCUUUAAUAAUUUAGAUUGCCUAAAGAGUAUCCCAUGAUGAUAAAGGAAAAUGGAGAGAUUUUUAACUCUGCUGGUCAGAGGUGAAGCCACACCUUUCCAUUUUUCAAGUGCUGCAUAAUUAAUCUGCAAAACAAAAUUAAGCCAUAACAGCCUUUUUGUAGAUUUAGUUUCUCACCUUUGCAUUGCAGAAUGGAUACUGGAUAACAGUUUUUGGUUGUGGGUUUUUGGUUUUUUUUGGUUGGUUGUUGGUUUGAUUUUUUAUUUUUUUUUUUAAGAACUUGCUCUUCUUUGCAUGGUUCUGUUCUUUGACUGUUGAAUGAUUUAGCCAUUGCACUGAAGUUUGAGCUGUGUGAGUGCGAACUUAUAAAUGCUGUUAAAGAGUUUUGAUUUUUUUUUUUUUUUAAUGCAUGAUAGCAUGCAUGUUUUACAUCCCCCCCUCCCCACCCUCUUUUGUUUGGCUUUGCAAAUUUUUAUGAAUUAUACUGAAGAAUAGUUUGGACAUGUACUGUAUGAAGUACAUUCAGUAAUGCUAGUACAUAGUAUUUAUUCAAUUUGGUCAAAAUUGCAUGUAAUAACUUGCUUUCAAAUUACAUUGCUUUGGUAGCAAAUACAAAAUUCCUUCUUAACUAAGAACUCUGAACUAAAUUAGCAAUAGUCACUAAAAACACUUGAAAACCAAAUUCUGAAAGGAAAAAAAAUCCCAAACCUUUAAAAUAUAGCAAGGUGGGAUAUUAUUUCAUACCCAAACUUGCUCCAAUUUUGACUGUGUUUGUAUGAACAUUAGGGAAGAGUUUCAGAGAAAUUACAUUUAAAAAAUUGUAGAAUGGAAAACUUACCCAAAUAAUACUGUAGCAUAACAGCUAGAAUCUGAGUUUAAUUAUCUGCUUAAAUUCCAGGAAGCCCCUUUAACCAAAUAAAACCACUCCACCUCACCUCAGAUUAGCUUAGGAUGCCACUUUUGUACAUGCGUAUUUUAAUAGGUAUUUGUACAGAUGUGAACUGAUCUGGUAUAACAGCAAGGAAAAGAAUUAAAAUAAGGCAGAAAUAAACAGUACUGACAAAAUAGUCUUUUGUAUCAGUAAGUUCUCUCAUGGUAUAUUUUAAAGCAAAUAAACCAUAUUCUUCAUACAUGAUAUACCGCAGAGAUUUGCAGAAGCUAUUUAGGGUAUACUGUGAGGUAAGAAAAGUUCUGAAUCAGCAUUAACAUUUAUAAUUGAACUAUUGCAUCAUGGGAUAUAUAAAAAGCAUCUUAAUUCUUGUGGUGUAGUCUUGACAGUUCUUGAAUGUUGACUGAAUGUUUUUACUGGUAGAAUUGUGAGUUUGUCUUUGUUACAUUCCAGUGUUUCUGCCUCUUGGCAUGCUAAAGGCACGGCUUACUUCAUUUGCUCCUUACACACUGAAUAAAGUGCUGUUAGUGUGCUAAACUACAGAAAUAGCCGCUGCUAAGUAAUGGUGUAGAUUUUCUACUUGAAUAUUUUUGUUGUAGAAACCUCAGGAGGUCAGUGUUUACUGUUUUUAUAUAUGCCUUUUUCCUGUUUUGAGUUUCCCUUUUUGAAGGAUUCUGAGAGUGAACAAAAGCUGCUGAUCAACCUAAGUUGGUAACAGAAAGUGUAUUUAAAAUCCUUAUAAAUGCAUCUUUUUGGCAGUUCUAAAUUGCUGUUAAAUUAGUCUUAAAUGAAGUUCAAUACUAAUUUUUUUUCAUUACGCAUUCAGGAAACAGCUCCUUUCAUUUAGGGAAAAAGAUCAGAAUAUAGUUCAUUUAUUUUAAGCAGUGCAAGCAAAAAUAAUCAAUUUUGUAAAUUUUUUCCAAAGCUUGAUUAUUUUCUAAAUCAGUGAAUAUGUAUAUAUUUAAAUUGUAAUAAGCUAAUUCUUAUGCUUCAGUUUAUUGCUCCUUAAAGCUUGUACUCAAAAGAUCACUUUUAGAAGAAUGGGUUUAAAAUUUAUAAUCAUUAUAAUUUUUAAAAAUUAUGAAGUAGCAUAAAUUUUGUAACUAACAAUAUUGAUACACACUGUGAUUUAUUUUUUUGUUAGGACUUUCAUGUUAGCAUCAAUCUUAAUUACUUAAACUGCAUAUAUUGUAUAAUAGUAAAAUGUAUAUUUUAAAACUUCAAGUGGCUUUCCUCAAGCGAAACUCAUUGCUACUUAGAAAUAGUCAAAUUCUAGCUUUAUCUCAGGUGAAUACUCUUGUACCCUUUUUGUUCAGAACACAUGCUAAUAAAAAUGUGUCUUAAUUAUAUCAGUUCAUGUAUUUUAUUUAGGCAGCUCCUCUGUCUUAAACUUACUCUAAAUUAACCUUUUACUGUGGGACAAUAAUGACUUUUGCUUCACCUAUUUUAUUCAUAUUGAAUGUAUUAACAGAUAAGGUGCAAAACCAUUCUUCCCUUGAGGAGAAUGCAUCCAUGUUCAAACAACUGAAAUAUUUCUUGAAAAAUGCUUUAAAUGCAACAUUAUAUUGGAAAUCGUUUGUUUCUUAUUUUGUCAAGGAAAGAAGUUGCAACUUAACACUAAUCGCUUCAAUACUAACUUUUUCAUGGGGAUGAUAGAUGCAUAAAGCUUCUAUAUAGGGUCUAAAGAGUAACUUUUUAUCUUAGAUAAAGGUUAAGCUCACAGUGAAAUGGCAGAACAUCCUGCAGUUAUCUCAGAUAGACGCUGAUGUAGUUUGCAUACGUAUUUGUUAUAUAUUACAUAAGUAUUUCCAGUAACCUCAUUUUGCAUAAAUAAUGCUUGAUCAGUAGCUGUGUAUUUCACUCACCUAUGCAUUCUCCAGAAUGACUUGCAUCCAUUAGUCUUCUAAGUAUUCUUCUUCAAUAGAAACUGUGUUUUGUUUGCCACUGAUGCUUGCUCUUUGCACUUAAUGGUUGGAGCAAGCCAGUUUUUAGAUUACUAUUUUAAAUGGGGAACUGAGGCGAGUACUCUUGUUGCUUGCCUUGUAAGAGUAUAUUCUGCUAAAAUAAUGAUACUUUCUCACUUGAAUGUACUUAUAUGAGGGAAGUUUAAAAUGGCUCUGUAAGGUGAAUCCCUGUAUGGUGUUACGGUAUACUUUAAGCCAAAUCCACAUCGAAGAAUUCAGCACUUACAGUAUAGUAUCAUUUUUUCUAUAAGCUGGUUCUGUUGUGUUACUUUCGCCUUAGGUAUCUAUUUCCUUACUUUGGGUGAGCAACAAAAUUGAGAAGGCCUGGGUGUCUUUUGUGAGGACAGCGAUUAGAAAAAAAAAACAACUAUUGGUAUAAGCAGGUUCAUUUGGCUGUUGAAAUCUCCAGUGUAAUAUUAUCUUUUUUCAUGGGAAGAGAUAGGUAGUUAUGUUGUAUAUUGUUUGACUUACUAAUACUAGACACUUUAAAAUUUUAAAUUGGAUGCAGUAGACAAAAUAGUUUAAAAUGAAAGAUGACUGGAUCUUUCUGCUGACAACUUAGGUUGUAUGAGUUUUGCUUGAAAGCUUUAAAUCUGAUGUUUCCGUAUCUGCCACAAUGUUGGAAUGUUUCCUUCAAACAUAUCCUCCUGCAACCUCUCAAACUGUACUAAAUUGAGUGAUACUUCUUGAAGUCUGCCUAUGUGCUAACAGAACUUCAUUUUAAAUAGAAUAUGGUUUUAAUUUUUGAUAAGCUGCUGAAUUUUAAAGAGUUUUUGGGGCCACCAAAUAUUUUGGAUCAUGCAGAGAAUAUAUAUUGUACUGUAGUAAUUUUGUAUUUACAUUUGUAUGAUGUGACAUAAUAGAUGUGAAUGUUAAUCACUGCUUGACUAUGUUAAUAAAGUUGUUUAAAUAUA